rnacentral:tRNA from 1 species
GGAGCAUGUCCGCAGCGCAUUUGAAUGGCAUUCAAGAGGUCAAGAGUUCAAUUCUCUUCAGCUCCACCA